GACGGAGGAUGCAAGUGUUAUCCGGAAUCACUGAGCGUAAAGCGUCUGUAGGUGGUUUAAUAAGUCAACUGUUAAAUCUUGAGGCUCAACCUCAAAAUCGCAGUCGAAACUAUUAGGCUAGAGUAUAGUAGGGGUAAAGGGAAUUUCCAGUGGAGCGGUGAAAUGCGUAGAGAUUGGAAAGAACACCGAUGGCGAAGGCACUUUACUGGGCUAUUACUAACACUCAGAGACGAAAGCUAGGGUAGCAAAUGGG
rnacentral:rRNA from 1 species